CAUGUACAACUCCUUUCUUACCGCUCAUAUUUGUGCUUAUGUAGUUAAUUUGCUUUUGUAAUCGACAAGCUAGUUCUAAUCAUGUCUUAAUCGAGUAACUCUAUAUCUCUUGUUGUGUUAGUGCUUAGGCUUAGGCAUAACCAUGUAGAGUAAUUUGCUUUGCUCGGUUAUUUGCUUUCUAGUCCUUGUGCUAAAGUGUUUUGGUGUGUUGUACUCACUAUCAUUUCAUACCUACAGGAAUCCGACGAAUCUAGGUCGGCCUAAAACCAUUGUAAAUAAGGCUUAAUAAAUUGUUAUUUACAUCAGUUUUUGAUUUAUUUACAUCGGUUCUAGGUCGUUACUAAUAAAGCAUCGUAAAUAAGUUUAUUUACAUCGGCUAACCGCCGUAAAUAAUUAAUCUAUGACGGUCAUAGCUAGCCGACAUAAGUAAGGGACGGUCAGGUUUCAGGUUCAAACGCACGAAAGAAAAUGAUUUAUACUGGCUAAACAAAAAUCAUCGUAGAUAACUACUUACUUUACUUGCAUUCCGAAGCUAGUAGGAUUUCUACGGAAGUAUAUGCAUACAGAACUACACAAGAAUGAGACAGAAUUAAUGUAGCACCCGCAUAGAAAGCAACAAAAUAGAUUUCUACCCAGAGCCCCAGAAUUGCUACCAGAUUUUAAAACUACAAUAUUAUGGCAAGCACUAAAUUCCAUAUCUAUAGUAGACCAAACAAGCAUAUCGUGCAUGGAUCAGUAGCAAGUUUAGGCAUCUUGAACUAUUAUAUGAUGCACAAUCUCAGCAAGAUUUCAAGCAACAAAUUAACUACAGAAAUACUAUCUACCUUGCCAAUGGCCACACCGCCCACAACGUUCCAAUUUCAACAGCAGAUAAACAACCAUACCUGGCGCCACUUAUGGUCAUGAACUGCUACAGCUUGUCGCGGUUUCCUCUCCUCAGCUUAUGCUGCACAGUGCACACAAACCACACAUAAUCAACUAUAUAUCUUUUUAAAAAGGAGAAACUAAACAUCAGAUUCCAACAGUUCAUACAUCAGAAUUAACCAUUUAACCCACGAAUUCAAACCGGGAGCUAACAGAACCGGGGCAGGUCAUAGAUACUCACCAUCUUGGAUCGCAGAACGAGGAUGACGCCGGGGAAGUUUGGGGUUUCGUGGCGAAGCCUGAACUCUAGUAGUCUAGCUCUUGGCUCCUAUCUUUUCACCUUAAGGCACCUAGACUGCCAUAUAGAUGCACGACAAAUCUAUAAUUGAAUAAUUGUACGAGCUCAUUUUGGUCAGUGACCUUACCUUACUCUUCAUCCCAUUUACUAUGUACCAAUGUGCAGAUAUUUUAUUGUGCUGGAUGAUAUAUGGGACACGAAAACAUGGGAAAUCAUCAAGACUGCCUUCCCACUGACUCACUGUGGCAGCAUAAUCAUCGUCACCACUCGCAUAAACGAGGUUGCUAGGGAAUGCUGUAGAUACAGUGAUAAUGGGCAUAUAUACAAUAUGAGGCCUCUUAAUAUGGAGCACUCAGCACAGCUAUUCUAUGGAAGAUUAUUCAGCCCUGAAGAGAAAUGCCCUGGGCACCUCCAAGAGAUCUCUGGCCAAAUCCUGGAGAAAUGUGCCGGCUUACCAUUAGCGAUCAUCGCUAUGUCUGGCCUGCUGUCGAGCAAGGGGAGAACAAGGAAGGAGUGGGAUAUAGUGAAGGACUCGAUGGGCCGUGCGCUCGAAAGGAAUUCUGAUGUCCAACGAAUGCUAGAGAUAAUUUCACUCAGUUAUUUGGAUCUUCCUCCCGAGCUUAGAACUUGCCUAUUGUACCUCAGCAUAUUUCCAGAAGAUUACACGAUUGACAAGGACGGUUUGAUAAAGAGGUGGAUUGGUGAGGGGUUCAUCCAUGAGCAGAGCCAACCUGGAGGCUGGAGCAUACCGCUCAGGCGAGACGUGUUUUAACGAUCUCAUCAACAGGAGCUUGCUCCAGCCAGGAGAGAUGGACGAGUUUGGUGUGGUGAAAAGCUGUCGAAUUCAUGACACAGUUCUUGAUUUCAUUGUAUCCAAGGCCAUCGAGGAGAACUUUGUCACUUUAAUAGGAGUACCUGGUGUAAAUCCUACUGCUGUUGGAGACAAAGACAAGGUCCGUCGGUUGUCUAUGCAGAAUGAAGGCAAGAUCCCACCGGAGCUGGUCUUAUCUAGCGUCCGGUCGCUUAAUGUUUUCGGUGCUAGAGUGGAAAUCCCGUCUCUGUCGAGGUUCAGACGCCUGCGUGUUUUAGCCUUUGAAGGCUGUGGGCAGCUACAGGAUGACCAUCUCAAAGAUGUGGGUGAUCUGUUGCACCUGAGGUACUUGAGGCUCAACGAAGCAAGUGGUGUCACAGAGCUCCCAGAAAAAACAGCUGGGCUAAAGCACCUGGGGGCACUCGACGUACAUGGGCACAACACAGUAAUGGAAAUCCCAGCAUCCAUUUGUCAGGCCGGGCGAUUGGAAUGCCUGGUUACUCUAGCUGUUGAUCGUGAAACUAUAAUGCCUGAUGAGAUUGCAGACAUGAAAGCACUUCAGGUUCUGGAAGGCGUUAAUGUCUACAUCCAGUCGGUUGACUUCAUUGAGGGGCUCGGCGAGCUAACGAACCUGAGGAAGCUGGGGAUAAGAUUUAUCAACAGUGAUGCUGAUGAAGAAUGGGAUGAGAAAUAUGAAGAGAUCGUCUCCUCGGUCCGUAAGCUUGCCGACUCAAACCUUGAUUCUCUUCGUGUUCAUACUUUGAACGAGCCGCCAGAACUACUGAACAAGCUAAAUGACCAUGGUACAGUUGACCUUGGAGAACUUGUCGUCACGGGAGAUAUUGUCUCGGAUCUUGCAGACUGGUGGGGUGUACUUGUGAACCUUCACAAGCUACUCUUUUAUACGUACGGACUCAGUGAGAAAGAUGUGGAGACCUUAGGAAGCAUAACUGGUCUGGAAUACCUCUGCAUCCAUCUCUUCGAUGCACCCGACGACCCUCAUGAGCUGAAAGCUCCCCUAGAGAGAGCAAUGGAUGCCCACCCAAACCGUCCCAGAUUGGUAUGGGUCGAUGAGGAUUAGACCUCAACUCAGGCACCAUUUCUUCCUUGCAAACACUCAUUCUUUCUUCUGUCUGCUCACCAGAUACCUUUCUGUUGUUGGUUAAUUCAGUCGGUUUGUGUUUGAUUCUUAGCCAAUAAUAAAGUUUGAACCCAGUUGGGUGCGUCCAUGUACUCGCCAGACUCGUGCUUAGUUCACGAUGCGGUGUUCCCAUUGUUUCUGUUUUCUAUUGGGUCGUACAAGAUGUCAUGCAUGCUUCUUUCUCAGUCGUGGGAUGGCGCACAGGUGAUCAUGCCGUUGCCAUUAUGUACGUGUGUGGUCCGUGCUCAUCAGUUCGAGCUUGUGACGCUGUGAGUGGACAACUAAGAGCCGAGAAACAAAAAAGCCUUGAUUACAAGGAGUCGCUUAGUGGAGAAACGAAGAGUUUUGAAUAUAAGAAUUCUCUAACACCCACGCAGCAGGAGUGUCGGUAGACCAAGCAUUCAUUCUUUGAAGACAACAUAUGAUAGGCCUUUUGUGAAAAUGUGAGCCAACUGCGACAUCGUGGGUACAUGAAGAACAUGAACAACACCGACGACAACUCGUCCUCCAUAACUUUGUUUCUUGCGAGCUCAAGAGGAACGGUCAAAGCCUAGAACGGGAGCUCGCCAAUGUCCGAGAGUCCCUAAGACAGGAGAGCACCGAACAUGAGAACAUGCGGGUUGCCGCUAUCUUGGCGUGCAGCGACCUCGGAAUCUCCCAACGCGAAGGCCUGAGCUCUUUAGCCAUCCAAGUUUCGAAGCUGAUAAAGGACGCCAUCUUCCUCGAUGUGCACCAGUCGUUUUCGAUCACUCCGUCCCAUUAUGACAACAAUGAUCUCCCGGCGUUGGUGCAGGGCUUCGCGCUGGGGUACACCGAGGAAGAGUUGGACAAAUUCGAGGAGACAGACCCUCCAUCGCGGCAUUUGGCAGAUCAGACUGGAAGGAGGCUCUUCCUAAAAUAAAGUAAUUGUAAAAGGAUUUUAUGUAUCCAACUAGGGAUGUACUAGUCUUAUGUCAGGAUUUAACUAGUCAUAUGCCCAUGCAUUGCUACGGUUUAUAUAUAUAUGACAUAGGAUAAAUUUUGUUUUAAUAAAGCACAAAAUAUAUGUUUUCUAUUGAUUAGGUGUGUGUGAAUGUGGAGUCAACAACCAAGAUUCAAACACUCACUUAUACAUAAUUUCAACUUAUUUUUUACAUAAACUCUCCUAUUAUAGUAGUAGAAAAAAGAUUAUAGGAGUGUGGGUUGAUUCUAAAGAAAUAUAGGAGUUUUUUCGAAAAAUAUUGACGCGGGACAACCGUUGAAACUGGUGCUUUAAUAUAGUAAAGAUGUAGGUCGUUGUUUCAACUGCUUCGCGGAUGACCACCUUGUUGCAUCCUGCCGCCUUGGGCCAAGAUGUUUCCGCUACAAGGCUCUUGGUCAUCGCUCCUACGCCUGCUCUGGGCCAGUGAAUGGUGAUAGGAAGUUUCCUGUGCAUCGACGACUAUUGAGGGGAGUGGUUUGGAGUAGGCUAUCGACAGUCGCGCCAACGAACGCCGACCGUGUGGCGACAGGGCCUGUCCCGCAGCACCAGUUGGCUCGGGCCUCGGUCUAGGAGCGACUUCUGCCUCCAGCACCCCAUCCACGCAAGAAGAGAGUCAGUGUCUGGCGUAGAAUCUCCCCUCCAGGCAUUGAGAAGGGUCGGGUGAAAGGGAAAUGAGCCCUUGGGCCAUUUCUAAGUAUUUUGGUGAUUAAGUGUCUAACACAAAUGGUUAUGUGUUAAACUAUGUCAAAUGAUGGACAAAGUGCAAAUCAAUACAAAGGUAUGAUUUUAGACUUAGUACAUUGGUUUUAGUGUACUAACAUAUUUGUCUAAGUGCUAGAAUCAGAGAAAAGACAAAUGGAAAAGACUUGGCUCGAGCAGCCAAGACUCUGCUCAGUCUGGGUGCACCGGACUGUCCGGUGGUGCACCGGACAGUGUCCGGUGCGCCAGGCUGGCUCUAGUGAAAAGGCCGCUCUCGGGAUUUCGUCGGCGGCGUACGGCUAAAAAUCACCGGACUGUCCGGUGAGCCAACGGUCGGCCGAGCCAACAGUCGGUCGCGCAAUCCGCGCGUGACCCGUGGCCGGGCCAACGGUCCGAUGGGGGCACCGGACUGUCCGGUGUGCACCGGACAGUGUCCGGUGCGCCAACGGCUCCAAAACUUCAACGGUCGGCUGCGCCAGAACAGGAAAGCAAUCAGCACCGGACAGUGUCCGGUGGUGCACCGGACUGUCCGGUGCACCAGUCGACAGAAGGCAAGAAUUGCCUUCCUGGAUUGCUCUCAACGGCUCCUAGCUGCCUUGGGGCUAUAAAAGGGACCCCUAGGCGCAUGGAGGAGUACACCAAGCAUUCUUUGAUCAUCUCUUAGCACCAAGACAUCUCUCUAGCGCAUUUGAUUCGUUGUGAUAGCAAUUUGAGCUCCUCUUGAGUUGAGAACUCCGUGUGUGAUCUUAGAGCUCAAGUUGUGACUUGUGUGUGCUCGUGCUUUGAGGCUUGUGUGUGUUGUUCUUCCCACUCUUACAUCUGUGCUUCUUUGUGAUCAUCUCAUUGUAAGGGCGAGAGGCUCCAAGUUGUGGAGAUUCCUCGCAAACGGGAAAGAGUAAAGGAAAAAGAACAUCGUGGUAUUCAAGUUGAUCAUUGGAUCACUUGAAAGGAGUUGAGUGCAACUCUCGUCCAUUGGGACGCCACAACGUGGACUAGGCAAGUGUUGUACUUGGCCGAACCACGGGAUAAAUCUUUGUGUCUCUUGUGCUUGUUCUCACUGUGUCAAUUGUGGUUCACAAGAGCUCUCCUUAGCCACUUGAUUUUAUUGUGCUAACGCUUAAUCAAGUUUGUGGCUUUAAGUUUCAAGUUUUUACAGGAUCACCUAUUCACCCCCCCCCCCUCUAGGUGCUCUCAUCGGGUACAUUUCGAGAUGAUGAAAGGGGCAGUGGAUGCGCGAGCAUUUGUUACUCCAUCCAGUGAUGUCGGAGCUACAGCUGGUUCUGUCUCGCAGGGCCCCCUCCCGCCCCGCCCGCGACGCAUACGCCAUCGAAAGCGCAAGUCAUCCCCUAGGGGUGGUUCUGAUCUGGGUCGUGGACGAUCUGAUCAACCCAGAAAUGACAAGACCCCUCUGGUUGUACCCAGCCUUUUGCAUCAUCAGCACCCUUGUGUGAUCGGUUGGAAUAGUUUGAUGGAUAAAGCAGAAGAAGAUUUGAAGAACGCAGUGUCUAUCUUUGUGGUCAGUGAUGUGCUUGUGCCAGUCGUCGAUAUCGCAGAUGCAGUCGCUCAAAAACUUGAAGCCAAUUCUGAUUCGCUAAUCUUGAGGCAAUUGGCUCAUGGACAUUUCCUGCUCAUGCUUCCCACCCUCCAGUCAGUUGACCAGCUGAUAACGAGAUGGAACACUAUUCGUGCAGGCGCCUUCUCUCUGCACUGUAAAAGAUGGUCCAGGUUUUUUGGACCCUCAGGUGCAAGUUUGCCUAUCCCUGUGGAAUUCGAGCUAAGUGGCAUUCCAAUUCAUGUCUGGGAACUAUCCACUGUCCGACACAUUUUAAACCCUUUUGCAUGGGUGCAGAAGGUACAUGAGGAGACUCUCGAGCUCAAGAAUUUGGAGGUCUUUCGCUGUUAUGGUUGGUGUUAUGACCUGGCCUCAAUCCCUCAUUCUAGAGAUCUCUGGAUUACUGAUUCGCUGGGAAAUGGACCAGGCGUUGAAAGGCUAUCUCUUGCCUAUCGUGUUCAGAUUAAGGUGUUGGAUGGAUAAUGUGUUGUCCCUGACCCCAUCCAGAUCCCAACAGAUAUGGAUGGUUCCACACGACAGAGGUGGCGUUUCUGUUCGCGUUCGCCACCAGGGGACCGUGAUGGUCGAAGGGGUUCAGCGGAGGACGGUGUGCUUAAGGACAGACGAUCUGCUCUUGAACGUCUAGGCCCAAGGUCUAAAGUUCAGCCUAGGGAAGAAGGCGACGCCAGUCAGUGUGAUCAGACAGCUGGAAACUAUGAGAUAUUGGAGGAGUCCUCGACCGUGGAGAUCACCAUUGGUAUAUCUGCAGAAUUUGCUGUUGUCCCGAAUUUGGCUGCUGACCGGGCACGUUUGGUGCUAGUUUCUUCCCCACCACAGGCGUGCACCUCUCAACCCCUUGCAGCCUCUCAUGCCUUGGACGUGGUAGUCCCACAGACUCCGUCCGAGGCCUUAUUGCUUCCUCCGGAUGUGGCUGUCAUGUUUACUACCGCUAGGUGGGGCAUGUCCAGGGUCCAUUGGCCCCUGUUGAUGAGCUCGAGACCGUGGAGCAGCUGGUGCCCAAUAUUGAUGAUGUUCACGCUGAUUCUUCUGUUCCAGCCGUCAACCUGUCGCUACUUAUUUUGGAAGAAAGAGGUCUUGGUGCUGCUGUGGUUCCAGACACUGUGCCUGCCCAGGGUACUUCUCACCCUGUUGACAGGCCUUUGUUUGUUGAGCCGCAGGAUGUUACCCAUUUUAGCGGAGGUGGCCUCCCUUCCCACCUUCAGGACCACUCUGACAGCAGAUUCAAAGUAAAGCCUCCCUGUUUCAAAGUUUACUCAAGAAGAAAAAAACUCCAGGCAGCGGCAGCCCAGAUGACAGAUGUUGAGAGGACAGAAAGGUUACAAGAUUUCAUGCAGAAUGUUACCAAGCCAGCUGCAAGGUUGUUGGCUGACCCCCCCCCCCCGGAUUACCAAGCGAAAGAAGAGGAAGACCCUGCCCAAUGACUUCAAUCCAAGGAGAAGCAGAAGGGUGGCUAAUCUGCCACCGGAACUGGGCAAUGAAUCUGCAGCUAAAGUCUGCAGGCAGCUAGGAUUUUGUGAUGACCAAGAACAUAUUUCCUUCGAAGACGCCCAAAAGUAUGUUCACCUUUUUGAUGCAGCACUUUCCAGAGAGCAUAUUGCUGCCAUGGCAGACUUAUUUGGCUGGGAACUGCCUGUUGAAGGCCGGUUUCAAACCUGAUUGGAGGGGGGGUGUGCUGUAGGUCGUGUGUGUUUUAGUGUACCCUGUUAUAAUGCAGCCAGUUUUUCUUAUCUGGAAUGUAAGGGGCCUGAAUGACAUGUCUAGGAGAGACAUUGUUAAGUCCUUGGUCCUUGGCAUCAAACCAGCGGUUGUCUGUUUGCAGGAAACUAAGCUAUGCUCUAUCUCAGCUUUUGACAUCCUGUCUAUUCUUGGUGCUGGGUAUAGUGACUUCGUUUACUCCCCAGCGCAAGGAACCAGAGGAGGUGUUUUAGUGGCUUGUAGAGAUGGAGUCUAUUCUGCUAUUGAGAGUUUGGUGCAUGAUUUCACAGUUUCAGUCAAGUUGCAAGAGGAAGGUGGUGCUCAGUGGUGGUUCACGGGUGUUUAUGGGCCACACCAAGACCCUCUCAAGCAUUCCUUUCUCCAGGAGCUUAGGGAAGUCAGGGAGACAUGCGCUGGCCCUUGGGUAAUAGCUGGAGAUUUUAAUCAGAUCUACAGCUCAGAAGACAAGAACAAUGCCAAUAUAAAUAGGGCCAUGAUGGGCAGAUUCAGGAGACUUAUCAAUGACUUGGAGCUAAAAGAAAUCCCGUUGGUAGGCAGGAAAUUCACUUGGUCAAAUGAGAGAAAUGUCCCUACACUUGUUAAACUCGACCAUGUUUUCUGUACAGCCAGCUGGGAGGAGAUCCAUCCGGAUUGUAUUCUCCAUAGCAACUCUUCGGAGCUCUCUGACCAUUGUCCCUUAGCUCUGCAUCUUAAUGAGGAUGUCAAGGGGAAGUGAAGAUUCCAUUUUGAGAGUUUUUGGACUAAGAUUCCAGAUUUUUUGGAGACGGUGGCUACCUCUUGGGAGCAGCCAGUGAUGUUUUCUUGUCCCUUGGAAGAAUGGCUCUAAAGUUGAGAAGGCUUGCAAAGGCUUUGCAGUCGUGGAGUCAUAAAAGGAUCGGAAAUGUUAAAUCUCAGCUUAGCUUGGCCAGGGAAAUUUUGCACGGACUUGAGAUUGCUCAAGACAAUAGACUGUUGUGUGGGGACGAGAUAUGGCUGAAAGGAAGGCUUAAGCACCACUGCCUGGGGCUUGCCUCUCUGGAAAGGACAAUUGCUAGACUUAGAUCGCGGAUCAAAUAUCUGAAAGAGGGAGAUGCCAACACUUCCUUUUUUCAUCUAUAGGCUUGCUAUCGGAAAAAGCGGAACUUUAUCUCUGAACUAGUGCAUGAGGACCUGAUCGCCACCUCUCAAGAGCAAAAGCAGAAGGUCUUGUUUGAUUUUUUUCUCCAAUUUGUUGGGUGUAGCGAAGCAGCGUGAUUUCACUCUAGAUUUGGAGGCUUGCCACAAUGCUGAUGUUGAUCUUGGGGCCUUGGACCUUCCCAUUACAGAGGAGGAGGUCCGGGCCACUAUUGCUAGCCUUCCCUCGGACAAAGCCCCGGGGCCAGACGGUUAUACAGGAAGGUUUUAUAAAACUUGUUGGCACAUAAUUAAGGUUGAUCUGAUGGCGGCAGUUAUCACCCUGCACCAAGGUAACGCGCACAAAUUGUGGAUGAUGAACUCUGCGUACCUAACCCUUAUCCCUAAGAAGGUUGAUGCCAAGACAGCUGGAGAUUACAGGUCAAUUAGUCUUAUUCACAGCUUCGCCAAAUUGGUAUCCAAAGUCUUGGCUAAUCGUUUAGCACCACACCUUCAAAAUCUGGUGGCUACAAAUCAAAGUGCCUUUGUCAAGGGUCGCUCCAUUCAUGACAACUACAUGUUGGUUCAGCACUCUAUCAAGGCCCUUCACAGGAAGAAGAUCGUUAGUCUAUUUCUAAAGCUAGAUAUUACAAAAGCUUUUGACUCAGUGUCAUGGGCCUUUCUCCUAGAAGUGUUAUCUCAUCUUGGCUUCGGACCCAGGUGGUGCGGCCUUGUGUUCAAUAUGUUAUCCACUUCUUCCACACAAGUGUUAUUGAACGGAACUCCGGAGGAUUAUAUUCGACACCGGAGGGGGCUGCGCCAAGGCGACCCCUUAUCUCCUAUGCUUUUCAUAAUCGUGAUGGAUGUGCUUAGUAGCUUAUUCAAGCAUGCUGAGGAGAGAGGAUUGCUGCAUGACCUGGCCAUCAAAAACGUGAAAUCUAGGCUCUCCAUUUACGCAGAUGAUGUGGUUCUUUUUGUCAAGCUUGCAGUUGAAGAUCUUAUUUGUGUCAAAAUGAUCCUGGAUUGCUUUGGAGAGGCCUCGGGCUUAGUUGUGAAUUUGCAAAAAAGUUGUGCUAUCCCUAUCAGUUGUGAUGAUCAGACUGUUCAGGACAGUUGUAACAUUUUGCAGUGCAUCCGGCUUCUUUUCCAUGCAGCUAUUUGGGGCUGCCUGUUUCUGAUAAGAAGUUGGGGAGGAGGGACCUCUUGCAGUGGGUGGACAAGAUAGCUAACCGGCUGCCCGGUUGGAAGGCUCCAUUUCUAAACCUUGCUGGCAGGACAGCCUUGGUCCGGUUCGUGCUCUCUGCAAUCCCCGUAUAUCUUUUCAUCGCCAUGAAUGUUCCCAAGUGGGUUAUCAGUGCUAUUGACAAAAUUCACCGAGGUUUCUUGUGGAAGGGUAGAAAAGAUGUGAAAGGUGGGCAUUGCCUUGUGGCAUGGGAUAAAGUCACCAGACCGCUGGACCUUGGUGGACUUGGUAUCCCAAACCUGAUAUAUAAGAGUUGGGCGCUGCAAGCUAAAUGGCUUUGGCUCAUCAAGACUGGCCCGAAUAGGCCUUGGAGUGGAUUGGAUCUCCCUGUUUAGUCACAAGUAAGGAAACUAGUGGCCAGUUUGAUGUACACUCAUGUGGGCAACGGCAAAAACACCCUUUUUUGGAGGGAUAGAUGGUUAAAUGGGUGCUCUAUCGCUGAGCUGGCACCUGAAGUGAUCUCAAAGGUGGAUAAAAAGGUGGCCUCUACCAGGACAGUGCAUCAAGCUUUGGAGGGCAUGUUGUGGGUUAGGGACAUCAAGCCAACCCUUUCCCUUGUAAGUAUACAGCAAUAUCUUACGCUUUGGGACACCCUGGGUGAGAUCGUGCUCACUCUCCAGGAGGAUCACCAUGUGUGGAGAUUCAAGUCUUCGGGCCUUUUCUUUUCUAGGUCCUGCUACAAGGUUCUAUUUUUGGGCUCCAUCACCUACGAACCUUAGAAAAGACUUUGGAAAUCUUGGGCUCCUCCUAAGUGUAAGACCUUUUUAUGGUUAGCCAUGCAGAAUAAGUGUUGGACAGCUAACAGGCUGGAAAAAACAGUUCAGCAUCUGUUGACUGGUUGUGUCUUCGCCAGACAGUUUUGGCAUAGCAUCCUCUCCCCCUUUGGUAUGGGCCACCUAACUCCAAGACCAGAGGAAACUAAUUUUGCUGAUUGGUGGGGAAUAGUGACCAUUCAGGUGCACAGAAACAAGAGAAAGGGAGUCAACAGUGCCAUUAUUUUGGGAGCAUGGUGCCUUUGGUUGCAUAUAAACAGAGUUAUCUUCGAUGGAGAUUCGCCAACCAUUGGCAAGGUGCAUAGAAGCUUCAUCGAUGAGCUAUCCUUAUGGAUGUUGGCUGGUGCCAAACACCUCGGAAGCCUUGGCUUGCUGCCGCUCCAGGCGCAGCAGGCUCGACUUAAUUUUUUCAUUGGUCGUCUUUUUGUAUCUUGGUCCUAUGGACAGAUUUAUUUAUGCUUGUUGUUGGCCACCAUAGGGUGGUUUUUUGUACUGGUCCUCUUGGACCUUAAUUUCCCUUCUUAAUAUAAAGAUGCGCAGCUCUCCUGCGUUUUUCAAAAAAAAAUUGAAGUAUUUGUGAUGAGCCCGACUCUCUAUAAUUGGUCCGAUCCCACCUACGGAUUAAGUUUGGUCGGAGAGAGGACUUAGUUACACUGGUGAGCGAAGGUACCAUGGCCGCUGGGGCACAGGAUCCUUGUGGUCGGAGAGAGGACUUAGUUACAUUGGUGAGCGAAGGUACCAUGGCCGCUGGGGCAUAGGAUCCUUGUGGUCCGACCGGUGUAAUUCGCUCUUUCUACCCACUUGUUUUGGUAUGGGUCGGGUGCAUCCAUGCUUGCUGCGGGGGAGGGGGUCAUUCUCUUAUCAACCCCCUAGUGAGGGCCGACCUCUUGCUGGCAAUGGGGUCAGUCGUUACUCAGAGUGGGUCCGUUGUCACGGGAGAACAAAUUCUUCAAGGUCGUAACUCAGAGAGGCAUGAAACUAGAUGUAGAGAACUUUGUCAAGCAAUGUCAGGUCUGUCAACAAGCCAAAGGUGAAAGGAAACAUCUUGUAGGGUUGUUGCAACCUUCACCUCUGCCCUUGGGUGUUUGGCAAGAUAUCACGAUGGCCUUCAUCGAAAAACUUCAAAAAUCCGAAGGAUAUGACACCAUUCUUGUGGUGGUCGACCGUUUCUCUAAAUAUGCUCACUUUUUGGCCUAGAAACAUCCCUUUAUAGCUUCACAGGUGGCUCAAGUGUUGUUGGAUCAGGUGGUAAAGUUGCAUGGCCUACCUAAAUGGCUAAAUCUAUGACCACUGAUCAGGACAAGGUUUUUACUAGUUCCUUAUGGACUCAGCUUUUCAAGUUAUUGGGCACCAAACUGAAUUUGAGUACAUUGUACCACCCUUAGACCAAUGGUCAAAGUGGACGUGUCAAACAAUGUGUGGAGAUGUAUCUUCGUUGCGCAAUGCAUGCCCAACCUCAUAAGUGGAAGGCAUGGUUGUUCCUAGGUGAGUUUUGGUACAACACUUCUUACCAUUCUUACUUGGGAUGCUCUCCUUUCAAGGUGUUGUAUGGCUAUGACCCACCCUUUGUUGAUGCUCCUCUGAUUCCAGCUAAGGCCGAAGUGAAUGUGGCUACCAUGCUCGCUGAGCGUUUAGCCUUUAGCACUAUGUUGUGAGAACAGUUAACUGGUGCUCAGAACAUCAUGAAAAUGUUGACUGAUAGGCUCCAGACUGAGCGACAGUUUCAAGUUGGCGAUCCAGUUUUGCUAAAGUUGCAGUCGUAUGCUCAACACUCGAUGUUGAAUCGACCCUCUCCGAAAUUAGACUUCAAAAUCUUUGGACCAUACAAGGUCGUCGAAUGUGUGGCCGAGUUGCUUAUCGUGUAGAUUUACCAUCUACAACACAAGUGCAUCUAGUGUUCCACGUUUCUCAACCGCCAGUCUUUUCCACUAUACCUCGGUAUGAUGAUCUGGCAAGGGGUUGCUCCUAUGGAGAUUCUGGAUCGGCGGUUGGUGAAGAAUGGCAACCGGGUGGUUCCUCAAGUGCUCAUCUGUUGGAGUCACGUACUCACGUUCAUCGGGAAUAUGUUACUUGGGAGGAUUAUUAUGCGGUUCAACAACACUUGCCACGCGCCCUUGCUUGAGGACAAACAAGUCCUUCGGCGGGGGCAGAUGUUACGUCUAAAAAAACUAAUGACACUAAGAACAUGGGCAACGAAGCUGAAGACGCUAGGAACACGGGCACCCAGCUGAUUGUGUCGGAUGGUGAAUAGGGAGGUUGGUUGUGUUGCAGAAGGCGUAUUAUUGCAUUACGUUUUAGUCUAUGGUUGUGUGGGUGUUGGACCGUGGAUGUUGGGACCGGCCCAGUCCGGGAAUAUCACUAUCACUACGUCUUUGAAGUGGGAGUUUCGUCGUGCGUCGUCCCCCUCCCCACACGUGUAGCGAGCGAGUGUCGCUAGAGUUCCUAUGGGCUCAACGAAAUUUAAAAACCGCCCGUUGGGAUUUGAACUAUGGUCUCUAGUAGGGAUGGCAAUCGGGCAAGUAAGACAUGGGUAUAUGGUUGGUGAACCCAUACCCGCGAGAUGAAACUUAACUCAUACCCAUAUCCAUAUAUGUUCAUGAGUAUGGAUCUGUACUCGUACCCACCGGGUUCCUCUACCCGACGAAUAUUCAUUACCUGCUCGCCCACUAUAAUUUUAGCAUUCAUCACACAAACAACAAUUUUAUGAUAAUCAAAAAUUUCAUCGUUCGAACAACAUAGAACAACAAUUUCAGCACCCAACAACAAUUUCAACAUCAAAUUAUUAGAUGAUAAUACAGACAAUAUAAAACAAUAUUCGUGGAAUGAUAAUACACAACAUUAUAGCAACAAUAUAAUAAAGUAGCAGGGGGCUCGGUGCAUUGGCCAGUCGCCUAGGCCCAGUUGGCCUACUCAGUUACUUAGUUUAGGACUUAGGGUUGGCCGGUUGGUUGAAUGGGAUUUGGAAAUUGAGAGAUGGCCUACUUGUCAGAUACCUAUCGAGUAACGGAUAUGGAUAUCCAUAUCCACGAAAAAUACACCCAUAGAUACCUUAAUAUAUCCAUAUAUGUACCACGGAUACAAAUUUUCACUAUACUCGUACCUGAUGGAUAAUUAUCUAUGGUUAUUUACUCAAACCCGUAUCCACUGUCAUCCCUAGUCUCUAGGAAGAGAGACCAUGCCUCUAACCACGGUAACUCGAAUUGGUUUGGGUUAUAGUGUUAUACAAAGAAACUAUAUAUGAUAUAUAACAAACUAGUAAAUAAUGUAAGCACGAACGAACAACGAAUAAUAACAUAAUUUUACCACACUGUAUCGCGGUAUCGCCUGGUGUCGCUCACGUCCAAGCGCCUUCUCGCCGGCGUCCAAGGGCCAUCACAGGUUGGUGCAUGUCGCCGGCGAAAGGCCUGACGAACGACAAAGACCUCGGUGCUCGCCCUGCCGCCCUGCAGCACAGCAGUGAGCAGUCAGCACCAGCGCUCGUCGGCUGCCGGGUGCCGCCCGCGCCCGCUCGGCGCUCGGUAGCCGCGGCCGGUGGAGCCGCCUCGUCGCCUCACCACGGGCCCGCUGCGGACGAGCGCACGGCCACGGCGCCGGCGCACCGCUCGCCGCGACGCCGUCUCGCACGCGCGCGGAGCCACGACCGGUCGUCCACAGGCGCGUAGGAGCUCAGCAACAGGCGUACCGCAGUCCGCAGUGGCGCCGUCGUGCUUAGGAGCUUGGAGCCGCUCAGCCGCCACCGGUGGGAUCGAGGAUUCGAGCGAGGUAGAGCGUCUGAGCGUGGAGGGCAACUGGGAACGCCAAAUGGACCUAAUGGGCCAUCGAUUGUGUACUGUGAUGGACCAAACUAGUUUUAUUAUCUAUUUUUUAUUUAAACGGGUUAAAUAUUGUAUGUGUACAAAAAUGCAGGGUAUUCCAGGGAAUACACUGAGCUAUUCCAGGAUAUACACUGAGCUCCGCCCUAUGCUCCAGCCGUUGGAGUGGAUUGAAGGAAAAUAAACUAAUUUUCCCUUCAAUCCCUAUGGAGAAUAGGUAGGGAUGGCAAUUCUUCCCGCAGGCACGGAUAUCCACGGGUUUCGUACCCGAUGGAUAUGGAUACGGGUAAGAAAUCUCGCCCACGGGUAAGGAUACGGGCAACACUUCUCACCCGCGGGUAUU
rnacentral:lncRNA from 1 species